CUUAUUUGACUCAACACGGGGAAGCUUACCAGGGCAAGACAUGGCUAGGAACGACAGCUUAAGAGCGCUUUCGUGAUUCCAUGAGUGGUGGUGCAUGGUCCGUUGCAUGUUCGUGGAGCGAUUUGUCUGGUUAAUUCCGUUAACGAACGAGACUUUGGCCCUCAAAAUAGAGACACACACUUUGCUGCUGGGUGUCCUCUUCUUGAGGGGACUGAUCGUGGUAAGCGAUAGGAAGUGCAAAGCCAUAACAGGUCUGUGAUGCCCUUAGAUGUUCUGGGCUGCACGCGUGCUACAAUGGCAGAGACAGCAAGUUGGUGCACCGAGAGGUGCGUCAAAGCGUGAAUCUCUGCCGUGCUUGGGAUAGGCCAUUGGAAUUUGGCCUUGAACGAGGAAUUUUUAGUAAGUGCACUUCAUCACAGUGCGCUGGCUACGUCCCUUGUUUUUGUACACACCGCCCGUCGCUAUUUCCGAUUGGAUGGCUUAGUGAGGUGCUUGGAUGGCCUCUCUUGGGAGGACAGAAAAGCAACAAACUUGGUCAUCUAGAGGAAAUAAAAGUCGUAACAAGGUACUUGUAUGUGAACCUGCAUGUGGAUCAUUAAUGGUGUUCUGGUGGUGCGGCAGUCGUGAGACGCAGCCCGCUGGGGUAUUUUGUGAAUCUUCUGUGCGAUGGCAUCUGUGCAGAGUUGUGUUGUGUUACUGAUGGGGGUGUUGUKUUGUGUUGUGUUGUGUUGUGUUGUGUUGUCUCUGGCUCAUUAGACUGGACUGGGGCUGGGCUUUUCAAUUGCAGCCCACUUUGGUUGAUYUGAGGCAAUUACAUUUGGCUUGGCAUAGCACAUCAUAUGUAUAUGUAUAUGUAUAUGUAUAUGUAUAUAUCACCAAUGACUUGGCUCUACACAGGUGCCAUGGCCAGAACAAUAGAUGCUUUAAAUAACUACAAAUUGUACACAACUGGCGGCAAGGGAUCAUUUGGUUCUCGUAACGAUGAAGAACGCAGCGAGAUGCGAAACGUGGCGCGAUACGCAAAACCUGCGAGACGUCGAGUUUUUGAACGCAGCAUGCGCCCGCAGAGCAAUCUGCAGGCAUGUCUGUCUGGGUGUUUUGAUCACUCUUCUGGGCAAUUGGUGUGCUUUGCUUUGGGCUCUUGUGCAAGCAAUGGCCACAGAGCGCACUGUGCUUGGAUGUGUCUUGCCUGCUUGCAGGUGUGUGUGUGCUGCCUCACCGCAGUGUCAAUCUCUGAGUGUCUGAUGUGAAUAUGUGGCCAAGUGGUGUGGUGUGGUGAUGGGAUGGGAUGUUUGUUCGUUCGUUCUAUUGCCACGCCCUUACCUUACCAACUACAUGCAGGCCACUUUGCAGGCAUCCAUGCAUAUCAAUGGAUGGAUGCAAGCACCAUUGCAGACAAAGGGACAUCGGGCUUGUGGUUGUGGUUGCUGUCUGGUCAUGCUUGCAUGGCUGUGCACAAGCACAAUCGGGCCAGACAACCUUGGUCUGCAGUCAAAUGACAAACCUCAGAUCAGAUAAGACUACCCGCUGAACUUAAA
rnacentral:rRNA from 1 species